GCUCAGGAUGAACGCUAGCUACAGGCUUAACACAUGCAAGUCGAGGGGUAGCAGGGUAGCAAUACCGCUGACGACCGGCGCACGGGUGAGUAACACGUAUCCAACCUUCCCAUAACUCGGGGAUAGCCUUUCGAAAGAAAGAUUAAUACCCGAUAGUACUUUUUUAGGGCAUCUUAGAAAAGUUAAAGAUUUAUUGGUUAUGGAUGGGGAUGCGUUCCAUUAGAUAGUUGGUGAGGUAACGGCUCACCAAGUCUUCGAUGGAUAGGGGUUCUGAGAGGAAGGUCCCCCACAUUGGCACUGAGACACGGACCAAACUCCUACGGGAGGCAGCAGUGAGGAAUAUU
rnacentral:rRNA from 1 species